GACGAACGCUGGCGGCGCGCUUAACACAUGCAAGUCGAGCGAGAACCAGGGCCUUCGGGCCUGGGGACAGCGGCGAACGGGUGAGUAACACGUGGGUAAUCAACCCUCGGUACUGGGAUAGCCCGGGGAAACCCGGAUUAAUACCGGAUGGCCCUUUGGAUCUUCGGAUCUGACGGAAAAGGUAGCUUCGGCCUCCGACCGAGGACGAGCCCGCGGCGGAUUAGCUUGUUGGUGAGGUAACGGCUCACCAAGGCGACGAUCCGUAGCUGGUCUGAGAGGACGAUCAGCCACACUGGGACGUGAGACACGGCCCAGACUCCUACGGGAGGC
rnacentral:rRNA from 1 species